GUGGGGAAUAUUGCACAAUGGGCGCAAGCCUGAUGCAGCGACGCCGCGUGAGGGAUGACGGCCUUCGGGUUGUAAACCUCUUUUGUCGGGGAGCAAGCCCUUCGGGGUGAGUGUACCCUUCGAAUAAGCACCGGCUAACUACGUGCCAGCAGCCGCGGUAAUACGUAGGGUGCAAGCGUUAUCCGGAUUUAUUGGGCGUAAAGGGCUCGUAGGCGGCCUGUCGCGUCCGGUGUGAAAGUCCAUCGCUCAACGGUGGAUCCGCGCCGGGUACGGGCAGGCUCGAGUGCAGUAGGGGAGACUGGAAUUCCCGGUGUAACGGUGGAAUGUGUAGAUAUCGGGAAGAACACCAAUGGCGAAGGCAGGUCUCUGGGCUGUUACUGACGCUGAGGAGCGAAAGCGUGGGGAGCGAACAGGAUUAGAUACCCCUGUAGUCC
rnacentral:rRNA from 1 species